rnacentral:ribozyme from 14 species
CCGUCCUCCGCGUCGAAGGCGGCGCGGACAGAAGCGACGCGGAGGUAUCCGGCGAAGCGACAGAGACGAAACGAGCUCGGGUGGCU